GCAGCUCUGUGAAGACAUUUACCCAGUCUUCCGUUACGCGCUGGUAAAUUGGCUGGGCUGCGAGGAAGAAGAGGACAAGCAGGCUGUGCUCAGGGCGGUGGCUGCCAUGAUGGAGGUCCUGCUGCGUGAGGAGCAGCACCGCGAGCAUGCCUGGGAGCAGCUCCUCUGGCUGCUGCACCAAUCUCAGGAGGUCCGAGACACCUCCCGGGUCAACAAGCUCCCUGACGUGACCAAAGAGCCUGGCCUGGCCCCUAAGGCAGA